AGCGUACACGGUGGAUGCCCUGGCAGUCAGAGGCGAUGAAGGACGUGCUAAUCUGCGAAAAGCGCCGGCGAGGUGAUAUGAACCCUUGACCCGGCGAUGUCCGAAUGGGGAAACCCAGUGCAAUUCGUUGCACUAUCGUUAACUGAAUACAUAGGUUAACGAGGCGAACCGGGGGAACUGAAACAUCUAAGUACCCCGAGGAAAAGAAAUCAACCGAGAUUCCCCCAGUAGCGGCGAGCGAACGGGGAGCAGCCCGGAGUCUGAAUCAGCUUGUGUGUUAGUGGAACGGUCUGGAAAGUCCGACGGUACAGGGUGAUAGUCCCGUACACGAAAAUGCACAGGUUGUGAACUCGAAGAGUAGGGCGGGACACGUGGUAUCCUGUCUGAAUAUGGGGGGACCAUCCUCCAAGGCUAAAUACUCCUGACUGACCGAUAGUGAACCAGUACCGUGAGGGAAAGGCGAAAAGAACCCCGGCGAGGGGAGUGAAAAAGAACCUGAAACCGUGUACGUACAAGCAGUGGGAGCACCUUCGUGGUGUGACUGCGUACCUUUUGUAUAAUGGGUCAGCGACUUAUAUUCUGUAGCAAGGUUAACCGUAUAGGGGAGCCGAAGGGAAACCGAGUCUUAACUGGGCGUUAAGUUGCAGGGUAUAGACCCGAAACCCGGUGAUCUAGCCAUGGGCAGGUUGAAGGUUGGGUAACACUAACUGGAGGACCGAACCGACUAAUGUUGAAAAAUUAGCGGAUGACCUGUGGCUGGGGGUGAAAGGCCAAUCAAACCGGGAGAUAGCUGGUUCUCCCCGAAAGCUAUUUAGGUAGCGCCUCGUGAACUCAUCUUCGGGGGUAGAGCACUGUUUCGGCUAGGGGGCCAUCCCGGCUUACCAACCCGAUGCAAACUACGAAUACCGAAGAAUGUUAUCACGGGAGACACACGGCGGGUGCUAACGUCCGUCGUGAAGAGGGAAACAACCCAGACCGCCAGCUAAGGUCCCAAAGUCAUGGUUAAGUGGGAAACGAUGUGGGAAGGCACAGACAGCCAGGAUGUUGGCUUAGAAGCAGCCAUCAUUUAAAGAAAGCGUAAUAGCUCACUGGUCGAGUCGGCCUGCGCGGAAGAUGUAACGGGGCUAAACCAUGCACCGAAGCUGCGGCAGCGACACUAUGUGUUGUUGGGUAGGGGAGCGUUCUGUAAGCCGUUGAAGGUGUGCUGUGAGGCAUGCUGGAGGUAUCAGAAGUGCGAAUGCUGACAUAAGUAACGAUAAAGCGGGUGAAAAGCCCGCUCGCCGGAAGACCAAGGGUUCCUGUCCAACGUUAAUCGGGGCAGGGUGAGUCGACCCCUAAGGCGAGGCCGAAAGGCGUAGUCGAUGGGAAACAGGUUAAUAUUCCUGUACUUGGUGUUACUGCGAAGGGGGGACGGAGAAGGCUAUGUCAGCCGGGCGACGGUUGUCCCGGUUUAAGCAUGUAGGCGGAGGUUCCAGGUAAAUCCGGUACUUUGUUAACGCUGAGGUGUGAUGACGAGGCACUACGGUGCUGAAGUGAUAAAUGCCCUGCUUCCAGGAAAAGCCUCUAAGCAUCAGGUAACACGAAAUCGUACCCCAAACCGACACAGGUGGUCAGGUAGAGAAUACCAAGGCGCUUGAGAGAACUCGGGUGAAGGAACUAGGCAAAAUGGUGCCGUAACUUCGGGAGAAGGCACGCUGAUAGGUAGGUGAAGCCCCUGCGGGCGGAGCUGAAAUCAGUCGAAGAUACCAGCUGGCUGCAACUGUUUAUUAAAAACACAGCACUGUGCAAACACGAAAGUGGACGUAUACGGUGUGACGCCUGCCCGGUGCCGGAAGGUUAAUUGAUGGGGUUAGCGGCAACGCGAAGCUCUUGAUCGAAGCCCCGGUAAACGGCGGCCGUAACUAUAACGGUCCUAAGGUAGCGAAAUUCCUUGUCGGGUAAGUUCCGACCUGCACGAAUGGCGUAAUGAUGGCCAGGCUGUCUCCACCCGAGACUCAGUGAAAUUGAACUCGCUGUGAAGAUGCAGUGUACCCGCGGCAAGACGGAAAGACCCCGUGAACCUUUACUAUAGCUUGACACUGAACACUGGUCCUUGAUGUGUAGGAUAGGUGGGAGGCUUUGAAGCGUGGACGCCAGUCUGCGUGGAGCCAUCCUUGAAAUACCACCCUUUAAUGGCUGGUGUUCUAACGUAGACCCGUGAUCCGGGUUGCGGACAGUGUCUGGUGGGUAGUUUGACUGGGGCGGUCUCCUCCCAAAGAGUAACGGAGGAGCACGAAGGUUGGCUAAUCCUGGUCGGACAUCAGGAGGUUAGUGCAAUGGCAUAAGCCAGCUUGACUGCGAGCGUGACGGCGCGAGCAGGUGCGAAAGCAGGUCAUAGUGAUCCGGUGGUUCUGAAUGGAAGGGCCAUCGCUCAACGGAUAAAAGGUACUCCGGGGAUAACAGGCUGAUACCGCCCAAGAGUUCAUAUCGACGGCGGUGUUUGGCACCUCGAUGUCGGCUCAUCACAUCCUGGGGCUGAAGUAGGUCCCAAGGGUAUGGCUGUUCGCCAUUUAAAGUGGUACGCGAGCUGGGUUUAGAACGUCGUGAGACAGUUCGGUCCCUAUCUGCCGUGGGCGCUGGAGAAUUGAGGGGGGCUGCUCCUAGUACGAGAGGACCGGAGUGGACGCAUCACUGGUGUUCGGGUUGUCAUGCCAAUGGCACUGCCCGGUAGCUAAAUGCGGAAGAGAUAAGUGCUGAAAGCAUCUAAGCACGAAACUUGCCCCGAGAUGAGUUCU
rnacentral:rRNA from 1 species